rnacentral:rRNA from 1 species
GACGAACGCUGGCGGCGUGCUUAACACAUGCAAGUCGAACGGAAAGGCCCUGCUUUUGUGGGGUGCUCGAGUGGCGAACGCGUGAGUAACACGUGAGUAACCUGCCCUUGACUUUGGGAUAACUUCAGGAAACUGGGGCUAAUACAGGAUAGGAGCUCCUGCUGCAUGGUGGGGGAUGGAAAGUUUCGGCGGUUGGGGAUGGACUCGCGGCUUAUCAGCUUGUUGGUGGGGUAGUGGCUUACCAAGGCUUUGACGGGUAGCCGGCCUGAGAGGGUGACCGGCCACAUUGGGACUGAGAUACGGCCCAGACUCCUACGGGAGGCAGCAGUGGGGAAUAUUGCACAAUGGGCGGAAGCCUGAUGCAGCAACGCCGCGUGCGGGAUGACGGCCUUCGGGUUGUAAACCGCUUUCGCCUGUGACGAAGCGUGAGUGACGGUAAUGGGUAAAGAAGCACCGGCUAACUACGUG